UUUAGUACUGGUUCUGCAACCGAUAUUACUACUUCAAUAACAAAGAGAGACUUUUAGUACUAGCUCAAAUAACUGGUACUAAAGGGAAGUCUGAACCAACUGGUACUAAAUUACCUACCACAUCACGCGUGGCUGAUACUUUUUCCUUCUUUUUUCUCAUUUUCUUUUCUGUUCUUUUCUUUCUUUUCUCAUUUUCCUUUUCUGCCACGUCACAUGCCGUUCCACCGCCGUACCUUCAGGUUGCCGCCUCUCCCAGCCACCGCGUCUCCAGGCCGCCACCACCGGUGGGGGUAGCGGCGGGGGCCCUCACGCGGGCGGCCUGGUGGCGGCGGCGGAGGGGGCGUGUAGGCCUCCAGAGUGGAGGCUGGAGGCGUGCGCCCAGUGGCUCGAAGGUCGGGGGAGCGUAGCCAGGGACAUGGAGAGCGACGGCGCACGGCCAACGACAACUCGGAGGCCGGCGGCGCGUGGCCCUCCAGUGCAUCCUCGAGAGGCGGAGGCAGUGAGAGGAGAGGGAGGAGAGAGGUAGGAGAGAUAGUGCAUGGCUGGUGGGGGAGAGAUAGUGUAUGGCCGGUGGGGAAGAGGAGGGUGGGGAGAUAAAGGAUAAGGCGUAGGGUGGGAAGAUAAGGGA
rnacentral:lncRNA from 1 species